CCCCAGGCGAGCGGGCAGGCUGCGGCCUCUGUCCAGCUCGGCGGACCGGGCUGUGCUAACCCACGCAGGGGAAAGCCGCAGACCCCCGAGUCUUUCCGGGGCGUUCUCGAAGCGAACAGACCUUAAAUGAGCUCUGGUGUCACCGGGCGCUUCCUCAGCCCCGGCGUUUGGUGGCUCCCGUGAGCGUCUCUGGGCACACAGAACGCCUACCUGGCCGGCAGGCAUGACCUACAGCACUGAGCAUCUGAAACUCCCUGCUUCCAGAUCCUGAACCAGAAAAACAAUACUAAAACCCUUUCUUCAGAACAUCCUGGUGUUUGCUCUGAGCCGGUCUUUCCUUGAACCUCCUGGAAGCAAGAGUGUUAGUGCAUAAGUGCAGACUGCACAUCAAGUCUCUGCUACUAGGGAAGAGAAGAUGGCGAUGACCUCGACAACUGUAGUGGUUCCUGCAGAGUGGAUCAAGACCUGGGAAAAAUCUGGGAGAGGCGAGUUUUUGCGGUUGUGCCGGAUUCUCAGUGAAAGUAAAAGCCGAGACACUUUUGCUUGGAGAGAUUUCCAACAGGCACUCUAUGAAUUGUCAUACCAUGUCAUUAAAGGAACUUUAAAGCCUGAACAGGCCUCAAAUGUUCUUAAUGACAUCAGUGAAUUUCGAGAAGAUAUUCCAUUUAUUCUUGCUGAUAUAUUCUGCAUAUUAGAUAUUGAGACGAAUUGUCUAGAAGAAAAAAGCAAAAGAGAUCAUUUUACACAACUGAUAUUAGCAUGUUUAUAUUUAGUCUCAGACACAGUUCUAAAGGAACGCUUGGAUCCAGAAACAUUGGAGUCGUUAGGCCUUAUCAAACAAUCGCAGCAGUUCAAUCAAAAAUCAGUUAAGAUCAAAACGAAACUCUUCUAUAAACAGCAGAAGUUCAAUUUGCUAAGAGAAGAAAAUGAAGGUUAUGCCAAGCUGAUUGUUGAAUUAGGACAAGAUUUAUCUGGAAAUAUCACUAGUGAUUUAAUCUUAGAAAUUCUCAAAUCUUUAAUAGGGUGCUUUAAUCUAGAUCCCAAUAGAGUUUUGGAUAUCAUUUUAGAAGUGUUUGAAUGCAGGCCAGAACACCAUGAUUUCUUUAUAUCUUUAUUAGAAGCUUAUAUGAGUAUGUGUGAACCACACACACUGUGUCAUAUUCUUGGGUUCAAAUUCAAGUUUUACCAGGAGCCAAAUGGUGAGACCCCAUCCUCCUUGUAUAGAGCUGCAGCAGUGCUCCUGCAGUUUAACCUUAUCGAUUUGGAUGAUCUCUAUGUGCACCUUCUUCCAGCUGAUAGCUGCAUUGUGAGUGAAUACAAACGAGAAAUUGUGGAAGCUAAGCAAAUUGUUAAAAAACUUACAAUGGUUGUAUUGCCUUCCGAAAAAAGUGAUGAACGAGAGAAAGAAAAGAAAAAAGAUGAUAAGGUAGAGAAGGCACCUGACAACCAAAAACUUGGUUUGUUGGAAGCCUUGUUAAUUAUUGGUGAUUGGAAACAUGCGCAAAGUAUUAUGGACCAUAUGCCUCCAUAUUAUGCAACAUCACAUAAAGUAAUAGCCCUUGCUAUUUGCAAUCUUAUACACAUAACUAUUGAGCCUAUUUACCGAAGAGUUGGUGUCCCUAAAGGUGCCAAAGGCUCACCUGUCAAUGCUUUACAAAACAAGAAGGCACCAAAGCAAGCAGAGAGCUUUGAAGACUUAAGGAGAGAUGUAUUCAGUAUGUUCUAUUACCUUGGUCCUCACCUUUCUCAUGAUCCCAUCUUAUUUGCAAAGGUUGUGCGCAUAGGCAAGUCAUUUAUGAAGGAAUUUCAGUCUGAUGGGAAACAAGAAAAUAAAGAGAAAAUGGAAGCUAUUUUUAGUUGUUUGCUUAGCGUUACUGACCAGGUACUGCUUCCUUCUCUUUCUUUAAUGGAUUGCAAUGCGUGCAUGUCUGAGGAACUAUGGGGAAUGUUUAAAACAUUUCCUUAUCAACAUAGAUAUCGCUUAUAUGGACAGUGGAAGAAUGAGACUUACAACAGCCAUCCACUUUUAGUGAAAGUUAAAGCUCAUACAAUAGACCGAGCCAAAUACAUCAUGAAGCGCCUAACCAAGGAAAAUGUGAAGCCUUCAGGAAGACAGAUUGGGAAAUUGAGCCACAGUAAUCCAACCAUUUUGUUUGAUUAUAUCUUGUCACAAAUACAGAAGUAUGAUAAUUUAAUAACCCCUGUGGUAGACUCAUUGAAAUAUCUCACUGCGUUGAAUUACGAUGUUUUAGCCUAUUGUAUCAUUGAAGCACUAGCUAAUCCAGAAAAAGAAAGGAUGAAACAUGAUGACACAACCAUCUCCAACUGGCUUCAGAGUCUGGCUAGUUUCUGUGGUGCAGUUUUUCGUAAAUACCCAAUUGAUCUUGCUGGUCUUCUUCAGUAUGUAGCCAAUCAGUUAAAGGCAGGCAAAAGUUUUGACCUACUUAUAUUGAAAGAAGUAGUACAAAAAAUGGCAGGAAUAGAAGUUACAGAGGAAAUGACAAUGGAGCAGCUUGAGGCUAUGACAGGUGGGGAACAACUGAAAGCUGAAGGUGGAUAUUUUGGCCAGAUUAGAAACACUAAAAAAUCCUCUCAGAGAUUAAAGGAUGCACUACUGGACCAUGAUCUUGCCCUUCCUCUUUGUUUGCUCAUAGCACAGCAAAGGAAUGGGGUGAUAUUUCAGGAAGGUGGAGAGAAACAUUUGAAACUUGUCGGAAAGCUAUAUGACCAGUGUCAUGAUACCUUGGUACAGUUUGGUGGGUUUUUAGCAUCAAAUCUAAGCACAGAUGAUUACAUAAAGAGAGUUCCUUCAAUUGAUGUGCUUUGUAAUGAAUUUCAUACACCCCACGAUGCAGCAUUUUUUCUGUCUCGGCCAAUGUAUGCACACCAUAUUUCAUCAAAGUAUGAUGAACUUAAGAAAUCAGAAAAGGGUAGUAAGCAGCAACAUAAAGUUCAUAAGUACAUUAUGUCAUGUGAGAUGGUGAUGGCUCCUGUCCAUGAAGCAGUGGUCUCGUUACAUAUCUCCAAAGUCUGGGACGAUAUCAGCCCUCAGUUCUAUACCACAUUCUGGUCUCUGACCAUGUAUGACCUUGCAGUGCCACAUACCAGCUAUGAACGGGAAGUCAAUAAACUGAAGAUCCAAAUGAAAGCAGUUGAUGACAAUCAAGAAAUGCCUCUAAAUAAAAAGAAAAAGGAGAAAGAGCGCUGCACUGCCUUGCAGGACAAGCUUCUUGAAGAGGAAAAGAAACAGAUGGAGCAUGUACAGCGAGUUCUACACAGGCUGAAAUUAGAAAAGGACAACUGGCUCUUAGCAAAAUCUACUAAAAAUGAGACCAUCACAAAAUUUCUCCAGUUGUGUAUAUUUCCUCGAUGUAUUUUUUCAGCAAUUGAUUCUGUUUACUGUGCUCAUUUUGUUGAGUUAGUCCAUCAACAAAAGACUCCAAAUUUUUCCACACUUCUUUGCUAUGACCGAGUUUUUUCAGACAUAAUUUACAUGGUUGCUAGCUUUACUGAAAAUGAAGCUAGUCGAUAUGGGAGAUUUCUUUGCUGCAUGUUAGAGACUGUGACUAGGUGGCACAGCGACAGAUCUACCUAUGAGAAGGAAUGUGGAAACUAUCCAGGAUUCCUUACUAUAUUACGAGCAACUGGAUUUGAUGGUGGAAAUAAAGCCGAUCAGCUAGAUUAUGAGAAUUUUCGACAUGUUGUACAUAAAUGGCAUUACAAACUAACCAAGGCAUCGGUACAUUGCCUGGAAACAGGUGAAUAUACACAUAUCAGGAAUAUCUUGAUUGUACUAACAAAAAUACUACCAUGGUACCCCAAGGUUUUAAAUCUGGGUCAGGCUUUGGAAAGAAGAGUGCAUAAAAUCUGCCAAGAAGAAAAAGAAAAGAAACCAGAUCUAUAUGCAUUAGCAAUGGUCUACUCUGGGCAGCUGAAAAGUAGAAAGUCAUACAUGAUACCUGAAAAUGAAUUUCAUCACAAAGACCCUCCUCCAAGAAAUACUGCUACCAAUCUACAACCAAGUGGGCCUUGUAGUGGGCUGCCUUCAUCCAUAGGAAGUAUGUGUAAAUUAGAUGAGAGCAGUGCUGAGGAGGCCGACAGAUCACGAGAAAGAGCUCAGUGUGCUGUGAAAGCUGCUAAUAAAGCUUCCAGUGUCAUACCAAAAGGGAAUUUAAGCAAUGGAAACAGUGGCUCUAACACCAAAGCUGUUAAGGAAAAUGACAAAGAAAAGGGCAAAGAAAAAGAAAAAAAAGAAAAGACCCCAGCUGUUACUCCAGAGGCCAGGGUACUUGGUAAAGACAGUAAAGAAAAACCCAAGGAAGAACAACCAAAUAAAGAUGAAAAAAUAAGAGAAGCCAAAGAAAGAAUGCCUAAAUCUGAUAAAGACAAGGAAAAAUUAAAGAAGGAAGAAAAAGCUAAAGAUGAGAAAUUCAGGAUCAUUGUCGCCAAUGUAGAAUCAAAAUCCACUCAAGAAAGGGAAAAAGAGAAAGAGCCCUCAAGAGAAAGAGAUUUAGCAAAGGAAAUGAAGUCAAAAGAGAAUGUUAAAGGAGGGGAAAAAGCACCAGUUUCUGGCUCCUUGAAAUCACCUAUUUCCCGAACAGAUAUCACAGAACCUGAAAGAGAAAAACGUCGCAAAGUUGAUUCCCAUCCUUCUCCAUCACACUCUUCCACAAUAAAGGACAGUCUUGUCAAACUUAAGGAAUCUUCAGCAAAACUCUAUAUCAACCAUAUUCCACCACUACUGUGCAAGAGUAAAGAGAGAGAAGCAGACAAGAAAGAUUUGGACAAGUCAAGGGAAAGAUCCAGAGAAAGAGAGAAAAAAGAGGAAAAGGACAGGAAAGAACGGAAAAGAGAUUAUUCAAACAAUGACCGAGAGGCACCCCUGGACUUAAUCAAGAGGCGGAAAGAUGAAAAUGGAAUAUUGGGGGUUUCAAAACACAAAAGUGAAAGUCCCUGUGAGUCUCUUUAUCCAAAUGAGAAAGACAAGGAAAAAAUGAAGUCAAAAUCCUCAGGCAAAGAAAAAGGUGAUUCAUUUAAACCUGAAAAGAUAGAUAAAAUAUCCAGUGGGAAAAAGGAGUCCGGACAUGAUAAGGAAAAGAUAGAGAAGAAAGAGAAAUGGGACAGUUCUGGAGAUAAGGAAGAGAAGAAACAUCAUAAGACCUCAGACAAGCACAGAUAAUGAAGACUCAGCCAAAAGUGUGGGCAGGCCUCUGAGCUGAAGGUCUCCCCUGCUGAGGAUGCCAGAGCUCUUGGUGUCACACUCUAAACAGUAUCUCUCUUAAUUGAGAGCCUCUGCUGCUGUCCAUCUUAUGAAAAUCCUUUAAGUCAGAAGAUGAAUAUACAUCACUAUCCUCUCGAGACAUUGCAAAGUCACUGGCUUUCAGAACAUUAUUUUCACGUCUGGGCAGUUCCUUGCAGCAAGAUCUCUGUGCGUACAAUUUUUUCUUGAAAUAAUACCACCUAGAAACAGCAUCUAUGAAAUUUCCACCAGCUGAGUCUCAGAUCACCCUUCUUAGAAAGGGUCUGCUGUGCAUUUCCCAAUAUAGAAGUAGGCUAUGGUGAGUUGAAGUGACUGUUGUACCUUAAAGGAGUGGUUGAGUACCAGCUAUAGAAAAUCCUGCAGGUGCUUGGCAACAAAUUGGGUCUUUCAUACAUUACUUACUUAAUCUCCAUAGCAACGUUGCAAGUGCCUAAAAAGCAUAAACACACCCUCGAUCUGUGCUGCUUUGCUGAUAAGCUGCCUCUUCCCACAUCGUUGAUUAGAGAGAUUUGUACAACUCCUCCUGUGUGCCAGGCCCUGGUCAAAGCUGAUGGUCUCUCCUCUCCCUCACAGACUGCUUCUAAGGGACUGACAAGUGGUGACUGUGAGAUGCACAGGGAACAGAUGGAGCAGCUGGUGCGGUGCAUGAAAGGUCAAGUGCUGGGACUGAUGGUGUCCUGUCGCACACAGGCCAGUGUCUCAGUGUGACCAUGAGAUUCAGCAGUCAGCCUUGCCCAGGUGUCCUCUCCAGUCUCCAGUGGACCUGGAAGUUGGAGGCAGAAGUGGGGGUGCCAGGAUCCACGUGUUACUGUGUGGUCCUGAGUGGAUUUGCCAUAACAAGUACAUUACUUAUGUCUGGUUUAUCAUACGAUGCUGGUCUUUAUAACUAAUCAUUAAUCUUCUACACUAUUUUCCAUAAGCUUUACCCAUGGAUGAAAGAUUUUUUAACUUUUCCUCACAUGAUAGAUCUAGACUUUGAAAUAUUGAACUAAGGGGAAAAAACCUGGAAAGUAUGUUGAGAAGUACGCACAAUUGCUGCCCUGCCUAACUCUUCAGGUGACAAGUAGCUGUCUAAAGCUUGGAACUGUCAAAGGACUUCUGAGUAUGCUUCCAGCCACAAGUCAGUGACAUCUUAACCAGUGUGUGGAGGAGGAGGGCAUUGGUUUCCACACUGAGGCAGCUCUGUGGUGGUUGUUCCUCUCAGGUACCCUCUACUGGUAAACUUGAACUAUACUGACAGACCAUAGCACAGCUAUGUCCCCAUCGUGCUGGAGUUUGUAUGAAGAGUCAGGAUGUUAAUACUACAUUUUUUUGCCUUCUUUCUCAUAGCUAAUGUCUAUGGAACUAGCUGUAUUACUUGUUUUUUGUUUUGUUUUGUUUUUUAUUGUUAUAGCUCUGUUAAAUGGCCCCCCAAAUUUCCAGAUAGUAUCCCUAACUGCAACAGAAGAAUUUUAUGGAUCCUUAACUCACAAUAAGUUUGACUUUCAACAAUUUGUUCAGUGUGAAUAUUUUUACGUCUUUUUCAUGCUUCCACUUACUUGGAACUCAGUUUAUUCUUAAAAACUGUCUAGUAGAACCAGCUUAUUAAGUGUUACUUUGGUAUGCAGUGAAAUGGUCAAUUAAGCAAUAUUGAAGAAAGAUACUUUGACUGUUUUGAAAUUUAUUAUGAAUCAUAAAACAAAAAUCAUUUCAUAGUAUUUCAGAGAUAAAGUCUCAACUGUUCUUAGUCCAAUAUGUCAGUAGAAUUUAUAGUGCAAAUAAAAUUUGCUUAAUUAAAAGAUUUUUUUUUGAAAGUCCAUCUAUUAUCAGAAAGCACCAGGAAGAAGUUGUAUUAGUAGCUGCUGUUUUCAUUGGAAGAGUUUUUCAUUAAAUUUCUGUGUAAAAUCUAUUCUUAAUAAGAGAUUUUGUUUGUUUUCCAAACAUAGUAUAUAGUGUGAUCUUUUACAAUCGAAAUGGAUAAGGAAGAAACAAGUGAGGGCUGGUGAUGGUCUUAUAACCACUACAGAAACUCUGUGUUUAGUGCUGUAUCUUGUAUUCAUUCUCAUGUUAAUUAAUUACUAGAUGUUGUCAGUCAUGUCUCCAGUGAAAACAGGAGUGAUAGGGCUUUCUGAGUCAGUUGAUGAAUGAAUCAUACUAAUUUUUAACAGUUUUUUCAUAUAAUUUUGUCUCCAUCUUUUCAGUAUGUUGAACAAGUUCUUCUAGGUGGUAAAGUUUGUGUUCCAGGUAUAUUGAGUUUAUGUAUUUAUCAUGUAUGCACUGUUGUUAGGUGAAAACAUACUUCAACUUGAUGGGCAGCCAUUAUUCAGUAUUCAUGUGUACUGAUGUUGAUAUAUAUUAGAUACUGUGUUUUACUAUACCUACAAGGUUAUACAAAAUUCUUUCCUUUUACUCAUGAGUUCUAUCUGUUUGGAUUUUUUGUUUGUUUAGAUUUUUUUCUUCGUGUGUUAAAAAAUAUAGUUUAAUGCUUUUUCUGGUACCUUGCCCUUUGUUGGCAUAAUUGGGAUAUAAAUCGUUCAAAUCUCCACAAUUAAGAGUUUCAGAAAUAUGUGAUACUGGCCACUUGACUUAAUAAAGACUAGAUAUGCAAAACAGGUGGAAAAAAAUACCUAUUUCCUCACUAAAAACAAUUGAAUAUUUUUCUUAUUAUUAGCAAAUAUUAGUAAUAGCAUAGACUGAAUAAUUUCUAUGUUUUGGCAAGCACAUAGUGAGACAAUGCUUAUUACAGUAAGUACUCAUUUCAGUUAACUAACUGGGUACUGUAAUUCCAAUAGGGCUGUAAUGCAUGGAAACUCACUCUUCAGAUUCCUUAGAGCUGUAACCUGAGACAGUUGAAGGGCCCAUAGUUCAUUUGGGAGGUGUAGAUAGUAGUGAAGCUGAGGAAGCCUGCAAAGGAAAGGUGUACAGAGGGUGUGCUGUCAAGCUGGCUAACACUGCAGGAUGCUAGAACUGUAUUUCCUUUGUGCUACUCUGGAAAAACUAGAACACACAAUUCAGACAUACCUCAUGUGAAGAAUUGGGGUACAGAACUAGUCUGGGGCAGUGGUAGCUAUCCUGUACAGUGAACAGCAGUUCUUGGCAACUUGUGAUCAAGAGCUGUAGCUGGACAUGAUGGCACAUGCUUGCAGUCCCAGCACCUGAGAGGUAGAAUCAGGAAGAACAGGAGUUUAGGGGGAACCUGGGCUACAUGGACUGUGUCCAAAAAAAAAAAAAAAAAAAAAAAAAAAAAAAAAAAAAAAAAAAGAGAAGAGCAGUAGCUGAAGAUUGGUAGACCCAGACUAUGAUUAUAAUACCCACAUUGUCCCUUACAUGUAUACUUGACAGUCCAGCCUCUUAGUACAGUGAGAUGGCGUCCUGUGCGCUUGCACUGCAUGACUGUGUAGCCCACGCAGGCAGAGCCAGGCAAGGCUGAAAGGCACAAUGAGAAGACAAUGCUGUGGUUCUGACCCUGGUGGUAUUUACUAUCCAUGUGAUCAGGUCUCAUCUGUAAGAUCAGAAGAUGAAUCAGUACACACCACUCUCAGGUGUGUUUGGUCUGAAGCACAUUUGAGCUGAACUUUGCACAGAAGAGAGGAGGAGGUGCCUUGUUUUACAAAGAGGGAGGUCUGUUUAAUCAGCAAGAUGGAAAAGAUUUCUUGGCAAUUUAAAUUUUCAAAGGCUAAAAGGACAGAUGUUGUCCAGUGAAAAUUAAAAACUUACCUAAAAGGCUUUUUUAAGUUUCUACUUGAACACAUAUUUCACAACUGCAGGUUUGGGCUUCUUUUUCCCUUAUGUUACAUCAUGAACAUGCCACAUGUUAACAUGCAUAAUAUACAAAGUAUGUAAUGUAAUGUAAUGUAAAUUGAUAUGGUAUGACUGGUUAUAUCUAUAUAUUAAUACUAAAUUAUGAAUGUAUAAUUGAUGUGAAAUAAAACACAUCCCU